UGGAUUGUGGCUCAGUGGUAGAGCACUUGCCUAGCACGUGUGAAGGUCUGGGUUCAAUUCUCAGCACCGCAC
rnacentral:tRNA from 1 species